GUGGGCAGUCAAAGGAACCAUCACUGAUUUAUUCAGCUAUUCACAGUUUCACUGCACUAUCUGUGUGUACUUAGAGCUGAAUUGCCAAAUCUUUGACACGAGGAUGUUUUUACCGGCAGAAAAGAUGUUUUUGUUUAGAAGUUUCUUUUUUAGACGUGUGUACUCCAGACAGGAGACAUGUUCUCCUGUGUCCUCUGUGACAACUUCAUCCAGCACAACCAUCUGCAGAAGAUCUACACCAUCACACUUCUACAUCAUCUUCAUGAACUAUUGGUGCAAACAAGAGACACCACUGCUGGACCACACAGAGAAGACUUCUACAUGCUGCCAUCCCAGUAUUUCUUCAAAGUAGGUGAUGAAAUGUCACCUGUGAAGCUUCACCUGACCACCUGGCUGGGCCUGAGAAAGAUCACUGACAUCAUGCUGCCAUGCUGCACACCAACAACAGAGGAAGCAAGACUUCAAGGGACUAAGAGACUCCUCCUCCUCCUGCCAGUGACCUGGGUUCCUCACAGUAGAAGAAAAGCUCUUCCUCUGCUGUGAGUCUUUCUCUUCACCGAAACCAUUGAUCCUCAUCAGAAUACUGUCAUCGAAACUCCCAAAGCAUCUGGGUGUGAAACUGCAUUGGCCAGGAGAAGACUGGACCUGCAGCACAUUUAAGGACCAGUUCCAUGUUCAUGCCUGCACGACACCAUCUGAGCUCUUAAAAAGAGUAACCUGUGCUCACUCUUGAGUCAGAGACCAGGCAUGUUGCUGCAGGGAAACACUGUGGAGGACCACUCAUCGUUUCUGGAGUAAUUUCCUCUCAUCUGUGCAACAAAAGGCCUUCUCAAUAAGACUCAUCCUUCCUGUGUGCAGCAGACACUGAACUGGUCCAUGGAGGCAGCAGAUGAUCAGCCUCUGGAAAAGGAAACCAUCACAUGGUGAUCACACCGUACAUCUUCACCGUGACGCAUGUUCUCAGACUCUCUGGUCUGCACCAACACACUGGACCACCACCCAUGUAAAAACAGAACUGAACUUAGCUUACACCAUCCAUCUUUUUAAAGAUGAUAUUUUAUAGUAUAGUUUCAUAUUAUUUAUAGUUAAAGAAUUAGUUUUGCUGUAAUAAUAGUAAUGAAAGAAUCACAAUAACUGCCACUUAAAAUAAAUAAUUCUUUAAAAAUACAUAAUUAUAAAAUAAAUUAAUAGUUAAUAAUUGCUAAGUGAAUUCAAUUUAAUUAAAAACUGAUUAUUCCCCUGAUACUAAAUUAUAAUGUUGUAAAGGUUUUAGUUUUCUUUUUUCUGUUAGCCUUCUCUUUGGUUCCUUUGACUGCCCACCCACCUGAAGACAAUCUGUUUCUCUUCAGAGUGUGUUGGGGUGUGAACGAUUGUCCAUAUUCUGUAUAAUCAUAUGGAAUAUAUAAGAUGUAUAUAUAUUUACUUAUAUAUGUGUGUGUCUCUACACUUAUUUACAGUAUUGUGUGUCAGUUGCUGUUAUUGUAUACUAUAAGAAUAAUAGAUGAUAUGUUUAUAAUUAUCAUUACAAACGAUCAUUACAGUAUAGUAAUUAUGAUUAUUUAUAGAAAGCAUCCAGCAGGACUCACACAUACAUAUGUUAACUUUAGAUGCUUAAUAUUUAGCCCUUAACAAUAAUAAAUUGCCUAAAUGAAAUAGGACAUUGCAAUACUAUUUCAAAACUUGACAUUUUCCCCCAUAAAGACUGCAAAUGCAGCUAGCAGCAGGUCCACAAUUCAGUAAACAACACAGCAUCACAGUGUUGAAGCUGAAGAGACGGCCAAGCUAGCAAAGCCUGGAACAUGUUUGUGUGAGUCCUGCUCAAGUGUGGGGUAUCUGCUGGUAUGUAGGUAGAAAACACACAUGUCUGCACUUAUCCUGGGCUAAUACAGACCCCAGUUAGAAGACAGACAUCGUAUAGAGCAGAGGUCCCUAACCCUGGUUCUCAAGGCCCACUAUCAUGCAGGUCUAAGAUGUGGCCCUGCUGCAACACACCUGAUUCAAGUUUAACAGCUCUAUGACAAGCUCUGCACAAGCCUACUAAUGAUCCAUUCAUUUGAAUC